rnacentral:rRNA from 1 species
UACACUCCUACGGGAGGCAGCAGUGGGGAAUUUUGGACAAUGGGCGAAAGCCUGAUCCAGCAAUGCCGCGUGUGUGAAGAAGGCCUUCGGGUUGUAAAGCACUUUUGUCCGGAAAGAAAUCCUUGGCUCUAAUACAGUCGGGGGAUGACGGUACCGGAAGAAUAAGCACCGGCUAACUACGUGCCAGCAGCCGCGGUAAUACGUAGGGUGCGAGCGUUAAUCGGAAUUACUGGGCGUAAAGCGUGCGCAGGCGGUUUGCUAAGACCGAUGUGAAAUCCCCGGGCUCAACCUGGGAACUGCAUUGGUGACUGGCAGGCUAGAGUAUGGCAGAGGGGGGUAGAAUUCCACGUGUAGCAGUGAAAUGCGUAGAGAUGUGGGGGAAUACCGAUGGCGAAGGCAGCCCCCUGGGCCAAUACUGACGCUCAUGCACGAAAGCGUGGGGAGCAAACAGGAUUAGAUACCCUAGUAGUCCCAUG